rnacentral:lncRNA from 1 species
ACAGAAUCAGUGGCUCAUACCUUCUGAGAACCGUUGGUGAUUUGGUGGUUGGAGCUACACUAGGUUUACCAACGUAGGUUGUUUCACCGUGGCAGCAACGACACACCAAAGCACGGCCGGGUUCCGACGAGCCACGGUGCGUUUAAAGACUACCGGACAGACGGCAUUAGCAUCCUUAUUGCUGGAUCCGAAAGCACAAUAAGCCUUCUACAGAAAAGGAGAAGCUCUGUGUUGCAGAGACGCAUUCUUCACCCGGCUCUAUUGGGUUACAUGGUGAGGUGAGUCUUUCCUCUCACUUCCUCUCUCA